GCGUUGUCCGGAAUUAUUGGGCGUAAAGAGCUCGUAGGCGGCUUGUCGCGUCGGAUGUGAAAGCCCGGGGCUUAACCCCGGGUCUGCAUUCGAUACGGGCAGGCUAGAGUGUGGUAGGGGAGAUCGGAAUUCCUGGUGUAGCGGUGAAAUGCGCAGAUAUCAGGAGGAACACCGGUGGCGAAGGCGGAUCUCUGGGCCAUUACUGACGCUGAGGAGCGAAAGCGUG
rnacentral:rRNA from 1 species